rnacentral:rRNA from 1 species
UGGGGAAUAUUGCACAAUGGGCGCAAGCCUGAUGCAGCAACGCCGCGUGAACGAUGAAGGUCUUCGGAUCGUAAAGUUCUGUUGCAUGGGUAGAUAAUGACGGUACCCUGUGAGGAAGCCCCGGCUAACCUCGUGCCAGCAGCCGCGGUAAUACGUAUGUUGCGAGCGUUAUCCGGAAUUAUCGGGCUUAAAGAGCAUCUAGGCGGUAAGACAAGUUGAAGGUGAAAACCUGUGGCUCAACCAUAGGCUUGCCUACAAAACUGUUGAACUAGAGUACUGGAAAGGUGGGUGGAACUACACGAGUAGAGGUGAAAUUCUUAAAUAUGUGUAGGAAUGCCGAUGAUGAACAUAACUCACUGGACAGAAACUGACGCUGAAGUGCGUAAGCUAGGGAACCAAACAGG